CCCUUAGAUGUUCUGGGCCGCACGCGCGCUACACUGAUGCAUUCAACGAGUCUAAAACCUGCUCUGAUAGGGGUGGGUAAUCUUUUGAAUGUGCAUCGUGAUUGGGAUAGAUGAUUGCAAUUUUUCAUCUUCAACGAGGAAUGCCUAGUAAACGCAAGUCAUCAGCUUGCAUUGAUUACGUCCCUGCCCUUUGUACACACCGCCCGUCGCUCCUACCGAUUGAAUGAUCCGAUGAAUAUCAUGGAUUGAGGAUUAUAGCUGGUUCGCCUGUCUUGAUCUUCGAGAAGUGAAGUAAAUCUUAUCAUUUAGAGGAAGGAGAAGUCGUAACA
rnacentral:rRNA from 1 species